rnacentral:tRNA from 1 species
GCGGGCGUAGCUCAGUGGAUUAGAGCAGCGGUCUUCUAAACCGUUGGUCGUGGGUUCGAGUCCCGCCGUCCGCGCCA